rnacentral:lncRNA from 1 species
AUUAAUUGAGCCUAAUGAAUGCAGGUCAAGUCAAACUCAACUGGGUGAUGCCUAAACCCCAUCAAUUUCUUUUCUUUACACGUUAUCCUUGAUUUUCUCCACGUGUCCAAACUUUCUAAUUUGGACAUCCUAAGUUCACGCAUCUUUUCCCUUGCUCCACAUUGAAUCCCCUCUUCAGCGAAAUAGCCUUCCACUGUGUCCAAGUUCCUCCCAGCAUUCCACCUACUAUGUGAGUCCUCCCAAACUUAAUAGCCACGUGAACCUCUUCCCACCAAAUAGUCUCAAAUGGAUCUGCUCCCAGCCGAGUGGACAUGUAGCCAAAAGAAAUCACACGCUCAUCCCCAGAUCCCAGCUAACCGCAAAUCAAAGCCUCUCUUAUCCCUUCUUCGGAACAAAUCCCAGCAUUACGAUUCAUCUUCACCCCAUGUCAAAGCUCCUUCCAAAUCCCUUGCGUUCCACGACAUUCACCCAGCUCACCAUGUUCAUGAUCUAUCUUCAUCCCGUAUCCAAACAAAAUCCCUUGCUCCCAACUGCUUCAUCCUCCCAAAUCCCACUAUCAGCCACAUCAUCCUUCCCAGCAUCUUCCGGACCAUCCUCCCCUUCUCCCGUGUUCCAACGAAACAGAGCUGAAUCCAUCUCUAUCGCAUUUCAACUCAUCUCUCAUCCUAUGCUUUGAAACCAAGUUCCGGAUCAACCUCAUCCGCAGCCAUUCCCGAGCUUCUUCUCAUUCCGGAUUGAUCCUAUCAUCCAUAGGAUAAGGUUUAGGUGUUCAUUCCGAAGCUAGAUCCCAUGAUCUUCGAAUCAAACUUUCUCCCCUGCUUCCGAAUUUCCCAGAUUUCUUCCCAGCUGCC